UGGGGAAUCUUGCACAAUGGGGGAAACCCUGAUGCAGCGACGCCGCGUGAGCGAUGAAGCCCUUCGGGGUGUAAAGCUCUUUCGGCAGGGAAGAUGAUGACGGUACCUGCAGAAGCAGCUGCGGCUAACUACGUGCCAGCAGCCGCGGUAAUACGUAGGCAGCAAGCGUUGUUCGGAGUUACUGGGCGUAAAGGGUGUGUAGGCGGUUCUUUAAGUUUGGUGUGAAAUCUCCCGGCUCAACUGGGAGGGUGCGCCGAAUACUGAGGGACUCGAGUGCGGGAGAGGAAAGUGGAAUUCCUGGUGUAGCGGUGAAAUGCGUAGAUAUCAGGAGGAACACCGGUGGUGUAAACGGCUUUCUGGACCGUAACUGACGCUGAGACACAAAAGCGUGGGUAGCAAACA
rnacentral:rRNA from 1 species